GAUGAAGAACGUAGCGAAAUGCGAUCCGUAAUGUGAAUUGCAAAUUCAGUGAAUCAUCGAGUCUUUGAACGCACAUUGCGCCCCCUGGUAUUCCGGGGGGCAUGCCUGUCCGAGCGUCAUUGCUGCCCUCAAGCACGGCUUGUGUGUUGGGCCCCGUCCUCCGAUCCCGGGGGACGGGCCCGAAAGGCAGCGGCGGCACCGCGUCCGGUCCUCGAGCGUAUGGGGCUUUGUCACCCGCUCUGUAGGCCCGGCCGGCGCUUGCCGAUCAACCCAAAUUUUUAUCCAGGUUGACCUCGGAUCAGGUAGGGAUACCCGCUGAACUUAAGCAUAUCAAUAAGCGGAGGA
rnacentral:misc_RNA from 1 species